UGGUAGUCCUGGCUGUAAACGCUGCCCGCUUGGUGUUGUCGGUCUCUCGGGGGCCGGCAGUGCCGGAGCGAAGGUGUUAAGCGGGCCGCUUGGGGAGUACGGCCGCAAGGCUGAAACUUAAAGGAAUUGGCGGGAGAGCACUGCAACGGGAGGAGCGUGCGGUUUAAUUGGAUCCAACGCCGGAAAACUCACCGGGGGCGACCGGCCUAUGUGGGCCAGGCUGACGACCUUGCCCGAAUAAGAGCCGGAGAGGUGGUGCAUGGCCAUCGUCAGCUCGUACCGUAGGGCGUUCACUUAAGUGUGAUAACGAGCGAGACCCCCGUCCCCAGUUGCCACCUAUCCCUCCGGGGGCAGAGCACACUGGGGAGACCGCCAGCGCUAAGCUGGAGGAAGGUGGGGUCAACGGUAGGUCAGUACGCCCCGAAUCCCCCGGGCUACACGCGCGCUACAAAGGGCGGGACAAUGGGUUGCGACCCCGAAAGGGGGAAGCUAAUCCCGAAACCCGUCCGUAGUUCAGAUCGAGGGGCUGUAACUCGCCCUCGU
rnacentral:rRNA from 1 species